UACGUAGGGGACAAGCGUUGUCCGGAUUUAUUGGGCGUAAAGAGCGUGUAGGCGGCUUUACAGGUCCGUUGUGAAAACUCGAGGCUCAACCUCGGGCCUGCAGUCGAUACGGGCAGACUAGAGUUCGGUAGGGGAGACUGGAAUUCCUGGUGUAGCGGUGAAAUGCGCAGAUAUCAGGAGGAACACCGGUGGCGAAGGCGGGUCUCUGGGCCGAAACUGACGCUGAGGAGCGAAAGCGUGGGGAGCGAACAGG
rnacentral:rRNA from 1 species